AAGUCGUAACAAGGUUUCCGUAGGUGAACCUGCGGAAGGAUCAUUAUCACGUAUCCACGUACUAACCCCUGUGAACUGUUCCCUCUUGAGUGUUGAAGUGCUGAUGACAUUAUCCCUUUCUUUCGUGAUUUAAGGACGUAGUCAUCAGCCGGCGUUAGAGCCAGCUUCGCAUUCUUGAGCGUAUUCUUAAACCACGAUAUUUAAACUAUUAACAACUUGUACUAUUUGAACUGAUUUGUUUCUCGUCUUCUCCGAAAGGAAAAGCUGGAAAUACUUUACGAAACGCAAAACAACUCUUAGCAACGGAUAUCUUGGUUCCCAUAACGAUGAAGAACGCAGC
rnacentral:misc_RNA from 1 species